rnacentral:rRNA from 1 species
GACGAACGCUGGCGGCGUGCUUAACACAUGCAAGUCGAACGGAAAGGCCCUGCUUUUGUGGGGUGCUCGAGUGGCGAACGGGUGAGUAACACGUGAGUAACCUGCCCUUGACUUUGGGAUAACUUCAGGAAACUGGGGCUAAUACCGGAUAGGAGCUCCUGCUGCAUGGUGGGGGUUGGAAAGUUUCGGCGGUUGGGGAUGGACUCGCGGCUUAUCAGCUUGUUGGUGGGGUAGUGGCUUACCAAGGCUUUGACGGGUAGCCGGCCUGAGAGGGUGACCGGCCACAUUGGGAGUGAGAGACGGCCCAGACUCCUACGGGAGGCAGCAGUGGGGAAUGUUGCACAAUGGGCGGAAGCCUGAUGCAGCAACGCCGCGUGCGGGAUGACGGCCUUCGGGUUGUAAACCGCUUUCGCCUGUGACGAAGCGUGAGUGACGGUAAUUGGUAAAGAAGCACCGGCUAACUACGU